rnacentral:tmRNA from 1 species
CCCCUUUCGCAUGACGCGCGCAGCGCCUAUAUUCCGCCCGCCGCUCCUCGGAACGGCUAUGGCGAUAAACGGACUUCGGAAUAAGCCUUUCGGACCCGGGGGCGGUACCCGGCGCCUCCACCACAGCCCUGCGGCGCGAGCAUGCAGGUGAUUCUCCCGGCGCGAGCCGGGAAGCGACUGCGGCGUUGGCUGCAGGGCUGCGGCGGGGGCGAAAUAGGAUCGACGAGGGUGUAAAGGUUGUUCUUUUGCUCGGCAUGGUUCCGCCGUUAUCGGGCCAAAAGCAUAGUUGCCAACGACAACAAUGCUCGGGUCGCCGUCGCCGCGUAAGCGGUGCUGGUACCCAAACCAAAGCCCUUGCGUUUAGCCGCGUAAGGCGGGGCUCGGAGGCGCCUGGCAACAGAAGCCUCCACU